rnacentral:rRNA from 1 species
UACGAAGGGGGCUAGCGUUGCUCGGAAUUACUGGGCGUAAAGCGCACGUAGGCGGCUUUCUAAGUCGGGGGGUGAAAUCCUGGAGCUCAACUCCAGAACUGCCUUCGAUACUGGAGAGCUUGAGUCCGGGAGAGGUGAGUGGAACUGCGAGUGUAGAGGUGAAAUUCGUAGAUAUUCGCAAGAACACCGGUGGCGAAGGCGGCGAACUGGUCGAAUAUUGACACUCAUACACGAAAGCGUGGGGAUCAAACAGG